rnacentral:misc_RNA from 1 species
AGUCGUAACAAGGUUUCCGUAGGUGAACCUGCGGAAGGAUCAUUAGAGAAGAUGAGACUUCGGUCUCUCCCCUCUUCAAACACUUUGUAUACUCUCCCUUUGCUUCCCUGACACAUGGAGGCCUUCUAAGCUUGCUUGGAUUGCUUUCGUCAGGGGACUUACAAACUAUGUUAUGUAUUUUAGUCUGAUAGUAUCUUAAUUGAAACUAAAACUUUCAACAACGGAUCUCUAGGCUCUU